rfam:Erinaceus europaeus unplaced genomic scaffold scaffold00116, whole genome shotgun sequence
AUACUUACCUGGAAAGGGAGAUACUAUGAUCAUGAAGGUGGUUUUCCAAGGGCAAGGCUUAUGCAUUGCACUCUGGAUGUGCUGACCCUGCAAAUUCCCCAAGUGUGGGAAACUCAACUGCAUAAUUCAUGGUAGUGGAGGACUGUGCACACACUCUCCCCUG